rnacentral:tRNA from 1 species
AUGGCUGAGUGGUUAAGCACUCGGCUUCCGAACCAGAGGUCCUGGGUUCGAACCUCGGU